AACGAACGCUGGCGGCGUGCCUAACACAUGCAAGUCGAGCGCGAAAAGGGCAACCUGAGUAGAGCGGCGCACGGGUGCGUAACACGUGGGUAAUCUGCCUUAGAGUCGAGGAUAACCCUGCGAAAGUGGGGCUAAUACCGGAUAAGACCACAUGGCAUAUGUUACGUGGCAGAAGGUGGCUUGUAUUUAUAUGAGCUAUCACUUGAGGACGGGUCCAUGGCCUAUCAGCUUGUUGGUGAGGUAAGAGCUCACCAAGGCUAUGACGGGUAGCUGGUCUGAGAGGACGACCAGCCACACUGGGACUGAGACACGGCCCAGACUCCUACGGGAGGCAGCAGUGGGGAAUAUUGGGCAAUGGGCGAAAGCCUGACCCAGCGACGCCGCGUGGGUGAUGAAGGCCUUCGGGUUGUAAAGCCCUUUCGUGCGGAAAGAACAGUCCCGUAGCGAAUACCUACGGGAUUUGACGGUACCGCAGGAAGAAGCACCGGCUAACUCCGUGCCAGCCGCCGCGGUAACAC
rnacentral:rRNA from 1 species